GACGAACGCUGGCGGCGUGCUUAACACAUGCAAGUCGAACGGAAAGGCCCUGCUUUUGUGGGGUGCUCGAGUGGCGAACGGGUGAGUAACACGUGAGUAACCUGCCCUUGACUUUGGGAUAACUUCAGGAAACUGGGGCUAAUACCGGAUAGGAGCUCCUGCUGCAUGGUGGGGGUUGGAAAGUUUCGGCGGUUGGGGAUGGACUCGCGGCUUAUCAGCUUGUUGGUGGGGUAGUGGCUUACCAAGGCUUUGACGGGUAGCCGGCCUGAGAGGGUGACCGGCCACAUUGGGACUGAGAUACGGCCCAGACUCCUACGGGAGGCAGCAGUGGGGAAUAUUGCACAAUGGGCGGAAGCCUGAGGCAGAGACGCCGCGUGCGGGAUGACGGCCUUCGGGUUGUAAACCGCUUUCGCCUGUGACGAAGCGUGAGUGACGGUAAUGGGUAAAGAAGCACCGGCUAACUACGUG
rnacentral:rRNA from 1 species